UACGUAGGGUGCAAGCGUUAUCCGGAUUCACUGGGUUUAAAGGGUGCGUAGGCGGGCAGUCAAGUCCGUUGUGAAAUCUCUGAGCUUAACUCAGAAACUGCCAUGGAUACUAUUUGUCUUGAAUGUUGUGGAGGUAAGCGGAAUAUGUCAUGUAGCGGUGAAAUGCUUAGAUAUGACAUAGAACACCAAUUGCGAAGGCAGCUUACUGCACAAAUAUUGACGCUGAGAAACGAAAGCGUGGGGAGCAAACAGG
rnacentral:rRNA from 1 species